UCCCUGGUGGCUCAGACGGUAAAGCAUCUGCCUGCAAUGUAGGAGACCCAGGUUCAAUCCCUGGGUUGGGAA
rnacentral:tRNA from 1 species